GAUUGAACGCUGGCGGCAGGCCUAACACAUGCAAGUCGAGCGGCAGCRGGAAKUAGCUUGCURCUUUGCYGGCGAGCGGCGGACGGGUGAGUAAUGUCUGGGAAACUGCCUGAUGGAGGGGGAUAACCACUGGAAACGGUGGCUAAUACCGCAUAACGUCGCAAGACCAAAGUGGGGGACCUUCGGGCCUCAUGCCAUCAGAUGUGCCCAGAUGGGAUUAGCUUGUAGGUGGGGUAACGGCUCACCUAGGCGACGAUCCCUAGCUGGUCUGAGAGGAUGACCAGCCACACUGGAACUGAGACACGGUCCAGACUCCUACGGGAGGCAGCAGUGGGGAAUAUUGCACAAUGGGCGCAAGCCUGAUGCAGCCAUGCCGCGUGUAUGAAGAAGGCCUUCGGGUUGUAAAGUACUUUCAGUGGGGAGGAAGGCGYGAUGUUUAAUACGCAUCRCGAUUGACGUUACCCACAGAAGAAGCACCGGCUAACUCCGU
rnacentral:rRNA from 1 species